rnacentral:rRNA from 1 species
GGGGAAUUUUCCAAUGGGGCGAAAGCCNCCACGGANCNAUGCCGCCUGGAGNUAGAAGGCCCNCGGGUNAUGAACUUNUUUUGCCCGGAGAAGAANCAAUNACGGUAUGUGGGGGAUANGCAUCGGCUAACUACUGUGCCAGCAGCCGCGGUAAUACAGAGGAUGCAAGCGUUAUCCGGAAUGAUUGGGNGUAAAGCGUCUGUAGGUGGCUUUUUAAGUCCGCCGUCAAAUCCCAGGGCUCAANCNCUGGACCAGGCGGUGGAAAGCUAUCCAAGNCUGGAGUACCGGUAGGGGUCAGAGGGAAUUUACCGGUGGACGCGGUGAAAUGCGCAGAGAUCGGUAAUAUGAUAUCACCAACGGCGAAAGCAUCUCUGCUGGGCGCGACANUGACACUGAGAGACGAAAGCUAGGGGAGCGAAUGGGAUUAGAUACCCCAUGUAGUC